CUCAAAAAGCCGGUCUCAGUUCGGAUUGGGGUCUGCAACUCGACCCCAUGAAGUCGGAGUCGCUAGUAAUCGCAAAUCAGCAUUGCUGCGGUGAAUACGUUCCCGGGCCUUGUACACACCGCCCGUCACGUCACGAAAGUCGGUAACACCCGAAGCCGGUGGCCCAACCCCUUGUGGGAGGGAGCUGUCGAAGGUGGGACUGGCGAUUGGGACGAAGUCGUAACAAGGUAGCCGUACCGGAAGGUGCGGUUGGAUCACCU
rnacentral:rRNA from 1 species